rnacentral:rRNA from 1 species
UUAUAAAUUUAUUUUUUUUUUAUGUUUUAUUUAAUUUAUUUUUUAGUAUCAUAAAUAUAUUAUUGUAUUUUUUUAUUAAUAUUUAUUUCUAUUUAUUUAAGUUUUAUUUUUUAGUACCUUUUGUUUCAGGGUGAAUUUAUUAUUUUAAUUUAUUUUUAUUUUUCCCGAAUUUAAAAUAUUUAAUUUAGAUUAAUUUUAAUUGUUGUAUAAAUUUUAUUUAUUUUUUAUUAGUAAUUAUAAGUUAUUCGUUUUUUUUUAUAUCUGGUUAUUUUAGAUUUAAUUUAAUUAUGAAUUAUUUUGUUUUAUUAGUUUUAAAAUUUUAAUUUUAUUUUAUAAUGGUUAAGCUUUAUAUUUAAGUAUAAUUAAAAUAUUCUUAAGUUCUUUAUCUUUAAAAUUUUGAUUUUAGUUUUUAAUAAAUUUAUUUUUAGUGUUAUGAUUUUUUUUUAUUUAUUUUUUUAUAAUUUUUAUUUAAUUAUUUUUAAUUUAGUUUUUAUAUUGAUUUAAUUAGUAUAAUUUCUAAAUUAUUAAUUUGAAUUCAACAAUUUUAGUUUCCAAUUGUUUAUCAAAAACAUUUCUUUUAGAUUUAAUUAAAAGUAAGUUCUGCUCUAUGAUUAUUUUAAAUGGCUGCAGUAUUUUGACUGUACGAAGGUAGCAUAAUCAUUAGUUCUUUAAUUGAGGGCUGGUAUGAAUGAAUCAAUGAGAAAUUUAUUUUAAUUUAAUUUAUUAUUUGAAUUUAACUUUUUAGUUAAAAGGCUAAAUUUUUUAUUUGGGACGAUAAGACCCUAUAGAAUUUAUUUUAAUUAAUAAAAUUUAAUUUUAUAUAAUUAAUUUAGUUUUUUUAUUUAAUUUUUAUUGGGGUGAUAAUUAAAUUUAAUCUUUAUUUACUUUAUUCUUUUAUUUAAGUUUUAUUGAUUCUUUAUAAAGGUUUAAGUUAAAAUUACCUUAGGGAUAACAGCGUGAUUUUAAUGGGGAGUUCUUAUUUAUAUUGAAGUUUGCGACCUCGAUGUUGAAUUAAGAUUAAUGUUUGGGGCAGUUUCUUUACAAUUAAGUCUGUUCGACUUUUUAAUUCUUACAUGAUUUGAGUUCAAACCGGUGUGAGCCAGGUUGGUUUCUAUCUUAGUAUAAAUUAAUUUACUUUAGUACGAGAGGACCAAGUAGAAAGUUUAUAAUUUUUAUUUUAUUAAUUUAUUUUU